rnacentral:miRNA from 1 species
GGUAUAAUCCUGUCUCUACAGAAGUCAGUGGGAGUUUUGCCAUUGACUUCAGUAGGGCCAGGAUUUCAUCCU